rnacentral:rRNA from 1 species
UACGAAGGGGGCUAGCGUUGCUCGGAAUUACUGGGCGUAAAGGGCUCGUAGGCGGCCAACUAAGUCAUACGUGAAAUCCCUCGGCUUAACCGGGGAACUGCGUGUGAUACUGGAUGGCUUGAGAUUGGGAGAGGGAUGCGGAAUUCCAGGUGUAGCGGUGAAAUGCGUAGAUAUCUGGAGGAACACCGGUGGCGAAGGCGGCAUCCUGGACCAGCACUGACGCUGAGGAGCGAAAGCCAGGGGAGCAAACGGG